AACGAACGCUGGCGGCAUGCCUAACACAUGCAAGUCGAACGAGACCUUCGGGUCUAGUGGCGCACGGGUGCGUAACGCGUGGGAACCUGCCCCUAGGUUCGGAAUAACUCAGAGAAAUUUGAGCUAAUACCGGAUAAUGUCUUCGGACCAAAGAUUUAUCGCCUUUGGAUGGGCCCGCGUAGGAUUAGCUUGUUGGUGGGGUAAUGGCCUACCAAGGCGACGAUCCUUAGCUGGUCUGAGAGGAUGAUCAGCCACACUGGGACUGAGACACGGCCCAGACUCCUACGGGAGGCAGCAGUGGGGAAUAUUGGACAAUGGGCGAAAGCCUGAUCCAGCAAUGCCGCGUGAGUGAUGAAGGCCUUAGGGUUGUAAAGCUCUUUUACCAGGGAUGAUAAUGACAGUACCUGGAGAAUAAGCUCCGGCUAACUCCGUG
rnacentral:rRNA from 1 species